rnacentral:lncRNA from 12 species
GGGAAAUCCACUGGAGUUUGCAAAGAGAGGGGAGAGAGAUCUUAGCAGACAAUGUUAGGGAAUGCUCAAAUUAGGGGCAUUUGAAGAGUUGUUUUCUUCCAUUUUUCUGAAGCUUCCAUAUUUUCUAUAAUAGUCAUGGCAUUCUCUUUAUAAAUGGUGGGAUGUUUACCUUUAAGUCUGAUAUUAUUUUCACCAUAUAUAUUACUUAGAGAGGUAUAAAGUGUGAUCUAAAUCACAGAUCUAGCUAAUUCAAAUUAUUAUUCUUUUUGUUUCAGGCCUAAUGAAUCAGGACUUCAGUGGAUGGUGCCCAGGAAUCUGAAUUGUCAACAAACUUGCCAGGGCAUUCUUAAGCACACCGAAGUUUAAGAGCCAAUGACCCAGAGUACAGCUGCAUGGACCCUAGGGAAGACUCAAGAAUAAAUCAAAUUUCUUUGGUGAUCAGCAUACCAGACUUCAAUGAAUGCAGAAUUAUUAGAAAAGAAGUAGAUACAGGUAAAAGGAACAUAAUUUUCUGAUCUCUGCACUAUGAAUUUUAAAGCAAAGUCAGACUACUAACAGAAGAUAUGAGAAAAUUCUGGAAUGUAUGACUAAGGGGUAGACUGAGGAGAUAAAUUCAUGUGAGCCAUGUGACAAAGGAAAAUUUAAAUUGAGAUUAUUUGAGCUUUGAGUUAAUAGUCC